rnacentral:lncRNA from 1 species
CCCGCCCCGCCCGGCACCGAGGGGGGGGGAACCGGAAACCAGGGGGCGACCGACCCCCCCAGGGGGGCUACCGGGGCGGGGGCGGGGCCCGACGGCAAGGCCGUGACGUCAGCGACCCCCCCGAUGACAUCAUCCGCCUCCCCGAUGACAUCAUCGACCCCCCCGAUGACAUCAUCAACAACGACGGCGACGACAACGUCAACGAUGACGUCGACGAUGACGUCAGCGCCCCCCGUGACGUCACCGAAGGCGUCGACGGCGGUGACAUCAUCAGGGCCCGCGGGGGCGUCGCCCGUGACGUCAUCGAAGACGCCAGUGACGUCAUCGGCGCCGUCUACGACGUCAUCGGCGCCGUCCAAGGCCGCGGUGACCUCAGCGGGGUCAUCAGUGACAUCAUCGGUGACGUCGAAGCCCUCGGUGACGUCACCAGGGCCGGCGGUGACAUCAGCGGCGUCGAAGGCAGCAGUGACAUCACCAGGGGCGGCGGUGACGUCAUCGAUGACAUCAGCAGCAGCGUCCAAGGCGGCGGUGACCUCAUCGGGGCCGGCGAUGACAUCAGCAGCGACGUCAAAGCCCGCAGUGACCUCAGCAGGGCCGUCAGUGACGUCAUUGAUGACAUCAGCAGCGGCGUCAAAGACCUCAGCGGGGCCGCCGAUGACGUCAUCAGUGACGUCAAAGCCCUCGGUGACCUCAUCGGGGCCGGCGAUGACAUCAUCGGUGACGUCAUCACCCGCAGCCACGCCCUCGAAGCCGCCGGCCCCGCCCUCCCCCGUCACAUCNNNNNNNNNNNNNNNNNNNNNNNNNNNNNNNNNNNNNNNNNNNNNNNGCCCCUCCCCUGUGGCCACCAACCUCACCCCGGGGGCCACCAACGUCACCCCGGGGGCCACCAACGUCUCCGUGGCCACCAACGUCUCCAUGGGGGCCACCAACGUCUCCGUGGCCACCAACGCCACCCCGGGGGCCACCAACGUCUCCGUGGCCACCGUUGUCACCCCGGGGGCCACCAACGUCUCCGUGGGGGCUACUAACUCCACCGUGGCCACCGUUGUCACCCCAGGGGCCACCAAAGCCACCGUGGCCACCAACGCCACCCUGGGGGCCACCAACGCCACCGUGGCCACCACCCUCACCCCAGUGGCCACCAAAGCCACCGCAGGGGUCGCCGUGGACUCUGUCACCCCAGUGGCCACCAAAGCCACCCCGGGGGCCACUGUUGUCACCCCCGGGGCCACCGCUGUCACCCCCGUGGCCACCAGUGUCCCCUCCGUGGCCACCAGCGCUCCCAAGGCCACCCCUGCAGCCACCGUGGCCACCAGCGUCACCCCAGUGGCCACCAGCGUCGCCGUCGCUCCCAAGGCCACCAACGUCCCCACCGUGGCCACCAGUUUGACCAGUGGCCCCAGGGCCACCAACCUCUCUGCGGUGGCCACCAGCGUCCCCACCGUGGCCACCAGUGUCACCAGUAUCAACGCUGGAGCUACCGGUGCCACCUCCGUGGCCACCAACGUCCCCGCUGUGGCCACCAACCUCCCUGCUGUGGCCACCACCGUCCGCGCUGUGGCCACCAGUGUCACCAGUAUCAACGCUGGAGCUACUGGGGCCACCGCCGUGGCCACCAACGUCCCCAAUGUGGCCACCAGUAUGACCAGUGUCAAUGCUGGAGCUACUGGUGCCACCCCCGUGGCCACCAACGUCUCUGAUGUGGCCACCAACGUCCCCAAAGUGGCCACCAACGUCUCUGCUGUGGCCACCAGUAUGACCAGUAUCAACUCUGGAGCCACCCCCGUGGCCACCAACGUCUCUGAUGUGGCCACCAACGUCCCCAAAGUGGCCACCAGUGUCACCAGUGUCAACUCCGUGGCCACCACCGUCCCCGAAGUGGCCACCAGUGUCACCAGUGUCAACGCUGGAGCUACUGGGGCCACCGCUGUGGCCACCAACGACCCCAAAGUGGCCACCACCGUCUCCGAUGUGGCCACCACCGUCCCCAAAGUGGCCACCAGUGUCCCCAGUAUCAACUCUGGAGCUACUGGGGCCACCCCCGCCCCCUCCGUGGCCAGUGACGUCGCCCCCGUGGCCACCGGCCCCGCCCCGGCCCCGCCCCCUAAAGGCG